CGUAAAAAUAUUCUAUUCAAUAUGGUCUGCCGACAACUUUUGUCCGUAUUCUAUGUCACGAGUUUCAUCAUGCUCACAGUUUUGAUUCCUCUUUUCUUUUUGCGCCUUCAUCAGUAUGAUUAAAAAAGCUGUUUCUGUGUGCCAUUCUUCUUAUUAUGAUUAUCACUGUAAAGUCUCUUGUAACCUUACACAAUAUUUCUUUCUUGCAUCAUUGUUGAAGAAGGUUUGAGAGAGAAAGAGAGGAAAAGGGAGACAAAAUUGGAGGAAGACAUGGGUAUGGGGGGAUUGGGAAGUAAAGCUUAUGCUAUGCUAUUGUUAAAUCCAUCUCUAACCAUAGCAAAGCAAAAUAUGGUGUUUCUUCCCUACACCUCCCAUACCGCUGUUUUCCUCUAUUUCUUCCCCUUCCUCCUCUUUCUGCUGCUUAUUCAUCUCAGAUCUCUCAACUUUUCCCAUCUGAUCUAGACAAGUUUGGUUCAAGUUCUUGUUUAACAAAUUAUACGAACGCAUAAAACAGCCACUUGUCUGGAUCUGAGUUCAUUAAACAAAUUUCACUGAAGCAAGAACCAUCUUCAUACGACAGCAGUUGGACCCAAGAAAGCAAAAUCAAGAACUCUCAUCAAAGCCCUUACCUUUAACGCACCUUUCUCCUUUUCCAUGAAUCUUUCUCUCCCUACGAUCACCACCACCCAAAACAAAAAACUUUAAAUACUGAUGCGGUUAAUUCUCGUUUAGCUAAUUUGUUGCUAUUUUUCUUAAAAGUUAGAUAUAUUUGUUUCUGUAAUUUCAUUCUUCCUAAAUUUGAAAUGUUAUUUUUCUA